AAGAAGAAGUACAACCCCUUCACGCGAUCCUUAUAUAGGAUCACAAAACACCUUAAUCCCUCAUACAUUUGGACUCAAGGAAUACUAAACCCAAACCAAUAAGACUCCUAAUCCCAACUUAAUCCAAACCAGACUUAAUGACAAGGACUCUUGACUCAAAUGAAACAGAAUUCAAAUGCAAAAGGACUCUUAAUCCAGCACUCCACGGUUGGGUUUCAAUCACGAUCAACCCCCAGGAUCAGCGUCUUCAUCCCUAUCGCUUCCAUCUUCAUCGGGGCUGAUUUCCUGUCCUGCAUCACUUCUCCCUCUGGGGAAUUUGCCUUUGGCUUUUGCUGUAUCGCUCACAUGGUGUAACAACCCAGGACCUCACCCAAAAUGGCUAACCGGAAGUUA
rnacentral:lncRNA from 1 species